GCUAUGUAUGAUAUGGGCCGGAAGGCAUUAUGACGUGGAUCGGAAGGUCGAUACGAGUAGGACCAGAAGGUCUACUGGGACUGGGACGGAAGUCCCCUGAGACACAUGGAUCGGAAGGUACUAGCGAGGACCGUGGGAAGGCGCCGACAUGACUCGUACACACUAGAGAGAGGAUUUGAUUUUUGUGAUCUUGGGAUACGAUAUGUUUUGAUAACUAUUGUUGGAUAUUUUUGAAAAUAUUUUAUGUGAAAAUGGUUGUGACAAAA